rnacentral:misc_RNA from 1 species
GCCUGACCCAUGGAUAGAAAGGAUGUUUCACUUGCCCUAUUAUGUACCUGACUGAUAGACAUAUUAAUGUUGUUUUCAAUCGGUGAAUGAAAAGCAAUUUCUGAAUCCUCCACCUGAUUAACAUUAAGAUUUCUGAUUCUACUGUCGCUUAAGCAUAUCUGUUGUUCUUCAAUAGUGUAAGACAUUGACAAACCAACUAAUGGAUCAUCUCCAAUUUGGUCUUCAAUCACUUUUUUCCUUAUGGUGGAGGUCCCUGUGCUUCUCUCGGUCAAGUCGACUUGUCUGGUGGUAUCAACUCGAAACAAUCUAUCAAUGAAUUGGUUUGCCCCUGACGGAAGAUCAGAAGCAGCCUCCCAACAUGUAGAAUUUGUCACUUCAAUUUCCGAAGUUGAUUUGCCUAGUAAAGUGUGGACAGCUUGUUUCUUGUUAGGAAAUAACUCUGUCUCAGCAGAACUGGAGAACAAUUGGUGAGCACGUUUCACGUCGAUUCUUGAUGAGCUAUCAAAAACUGCUUCUCCAUCAGAUAGAUGUCCACCACAUUUUGGUAUCCAAAAGUCCUUGUCAUGGAAAGACAUCUUACAGCUCUUACUUCAACGAACCUGACAGCCACAAAUGCUCAUAAAACAAUCACCUUUUUACAUGGAAAAGAAACUAGGAACGGCCAAGUAAACUUCCCGGCGGCAUCAUCGGCGGCGAUUUUCUGGUUUUGAAGUAGAUAUUUCACUCUCUUUUUUGGGGGGGACGGGCAGAGUAGUUGUUAUGGUGAGUGAGGAGCAGACGAUCGGCUCUCGACUGAGACCAUAGAAUUGUGAAUGGACCUGCA